GGAUACGUUAUUAUUAUUAUCAUCUGCAACAGGUUCAAAUUCGUGUGUAUUAGUUCAGUAGCAGAAUUCUUCAUUUAUGUUGCAGGAAACGCGUUCGAGUGGGAAGCGAGGAGGAAGGAUGGAAUAUGUUGAGAGGGAAUUUCGGUGCGCUAAUAUCUUAUGCACACGGCGAGCAAACUUUGAAUAAUUCAUGGUCAUCUUCAGACAAUCUUCGCGGAAUACGCAGCAGCAGCAGCUUCAGUAAAAGGAACACAAUAAUGGAAAUACAGUGUUGAAUGGGAAGAAAAAAUAACAAAGAAACGGUUUUGACAGUGAAGAAAGAGCACAACAAGAAAUAGAGCAGUUGGUCAAUACAUAAAAGCACCUCACGGAACAAUAAAGAAAAACAUCCA